rnacentral:piRNA from 2 species
UGAACACUGAGUUUCCAGAGCAGAGAGCCA